GAAAGGGCGCGAGGAGAACGCGUCUGGGCUGGGAUAUCGGCAAAAGGCCGGUAGGAUGCGGCAUUAUAAUAAGCAGAGCGUCCGCAGCCUCAAUUAAA
rfam:Ruminococcus torques CAG:61 genomic scaffold, scf51